rnacentral:rRNA from 1 species
AGUGAACGCUGGCGGCAGGCCUAACACAUGCAAGUCGAACGGCCGCACAGUAAGAGCUUGCUUUUACGGCUUGCGAGUGGCGCACGGGAGUGAAACACAGCGGAAUCUACUUUUUCGUUGGGGAUAACGCAGGGAAACUUACCCUAAUACCGAAUACGACUAACUUGUCAAAACAGAAGAUCUUCAGACCUUUCGCGAGUGAAUGAGACGGUGUCGGAUUAGCUAGUUGGCGGGGUAAAGGCCCACCAAGGCGACGAUCCGUAGCUGGUCUGAGAGGAUGAUCAGCCACACUGGAACUGAGACACGGUCCAGACUCCUACGGGAGGCAGCAGUAGGGAAUAUUGGGCAAUGGGCGCAAGCCUGAUGCGGCCAUACCGCGUGAGUGAAGAAGGCCUUCGGGUUGUAAAGCCCUUUUGUUGGGAAAGAAAAGCAGCAGGUUAAAACCACGCUGUUCUGACGGUACCCAAAGAGUAAGCACCGGCUAACUUCGUG